GACGAACGCUGGCGGCGUGCCUAAUACAUGCAAGUCGAACGGAAAGGCCCUGCUUUCAGGGUACUCGAGUGGCGAACGGGUGAGUAACACGCGGGUGAUCUGCCCUGCACUUCGGGAUAAGCCGGGGAAACUGGGCCUAAUACCGGACAUGACCUUCCUUGAAGUGUGGGGGUUGGUAAGAUAUAUCGGUGUGGGUUGCGCUUGAGGCCUAUCAGCAUGUUGGUGGGGUAAUGGCCUACAAAGGAGUCGACGGGUAGCCAGACUGGGAGGGUGAACGGCAACAUUGGCACACGGGUACGGGCCGGAGUGCAACGGGCGCCAAGGGUGGAGGAUAUAGCAAGAAGGGCGGAGGCCUUGAGGAGCGACGUCGGGUGGGAGAUGACGGCCUUCGGGUAGUAAACAUCUUUCAACAGGGAAGAAGCUUCGGGGAGGGAACCUGUAUAAGAAGCACGGGCAAACUACGU
rnacentral:rRNA from 1 species